GUGCCAGCAGCACAUAUACUAAAAUUGGAAUGAAACAGAGAAGAUUACCAUGGCCCCUGCACAAAGAUGACAUGCAAAUGCAUGAAGCAUUCUAUAUUUAU
ensembl:snRNA U6 U6 spliceosomal RNA